UGAGUACGAGACGCUAAGGCGUCGAAGUAGUGGAUGUCAUACUUCCAAGAAAAGCUUGCACUGUCAUAGAUAAAAAAUGCCUGUACCAUAACCGACACAGGUGGGUAAGUAGAGUAUACUAAGGGGCGCGAGAUAACUCUCUCUAAGGAACUCGGCAAAAUAACUCCGUAACUUCGGGAGAAGGAGUGCCUUAUUCUUAAGGUUGCAAUAACAAGAUCCAAGCAACUGUUUAUCAAAAACACAGGUCUCCGCUAAGUCGUAAGACGAUGUAUGGGGGCUGACGCCUGCCCAGUGCCAGAAGGUUAAAGAAGUCGGUUAGCAAUAGCAAAGCUGGUAACUGAAGCCCUGGUGAACGGCGGCCGUAACUAUAACGGUCCUAAGGUAGCGAAAUUCCUUGUCGGGUAAGUUCCGACCCGCACGAAAGGCGCAAUGAUUUGGAUGCUGUCUCGGAGAGGGGCUCGGUGAAAUAGACUUGUCUGUGAAGAUGCGGACUACCUGCACCAGGACAGAAAGACCCUAUGAAGCUUUACUGUAACUUGAAAUUGAAAUUGGACUUUAUUCGCGCAGUAUAGGUGGGAGGCGUUGAUUAUAAUCUUGUGGGAUUAUUGGAGCCAUCAGUGAGAUACCACUCUUGUAAUGUUAGAUUUCUAACUUUGAAUCAUCAUCUGGUCAAAGGACAGUUUCAGGCGGGCAGUUUGACUGGGGCGGUCGCCUCCUAAACGGUAACGGAGGCGUACAAAGGUUUCCUCUGAACGGUUAGAAAUCGUAUCUAGAGUGUAAAGGCAUAAGGAAGCUUGACUGUGAGACCUACAAGUCGAGCAGGGACGAAAGUCGGUCUUAGUGAUCUGACGGUACUGAGUGGAAAGGCCGUCACUCAACGGAUAAAAGUUACUCUAGGAUAACAGGCUGAUCUCCCCCAAGAGUUCACAUCGACGGGGAGGUUUGGCACCUCGAUGUCGGCUCAUCGCAUCCUGGGGCGGUAGUACGUCCCAAGGGUUGGGCUGUUCGCCCAUGAAAGCGGUACGCGAGCUGGGUUCAGAACGUCGUGAGACAGUUCGGUCCAUAUCCGGUGUAGGCGCUAGAAUAUUGAGAGGAGCCUUCUUUAGUACGAGAGGACCGAGAAGGACAUACCUCUGGUGUACCAGUUAUCGUGCCAACGGUAAACGCUGGGUAGCUAUGUAUGGAGUGGAUAACCGCUGAAAGCAUCUAAGUGGGAAGCCCACCUCAAGAUAAGUAUUCUC
rnacentral:rRNA from 1 species